rnacentral:rRNA from 1 species
CACACCGCCCGUCACACCAUGGGAGUUGGCAUUACCUGAAGACGGUGCGCUAACCGCAAGGAGGCAGCCGGCCACGGUAGGGUCAGCGACUGGGGUG